rnacentral:rRNA from 1 species
GACGAACGCUGGCGGCGUGCUUAACACAUGCAAGUCGAACGAUGAAGCCGGAGCUUGCUCUGGUGAAUUAGUGGCGAACGGGUGAGUAACACGUGAGUAACCUGCCCUUGACUCUGGGAUAACUGCUAGAAAUGGUAGCUAAUACCGGAUACGACCCUCGGAGGCAUCUCCAGGGGGUGGAAAGAAUUUCGGUCAAGGAUGGACUCGCGGCCUAUCAGCUAGUUGGUGAGGUAACGGCUCACCAAGGCGACGACGGGUGGCCGGCCUGAGAGGGUGACCGGCCACACUGGGACUGAGACACGGCACAGACUCCUACGGGAUGCAGUAGUGGCGAAUAUUGCACAAUGGGCGCAAGCCUGAUGCGGCAACGCCGCGUGAGGGAUGACGGCCGUCGGGUUGUAAACCUCUGUGAGUAGGGAAGAAGCGAAAGUGACGGUACCUGCAGAAAAAGCACCGGCUAACUACGUGCCAGCAGCCACAGUAA